rnacentral:rRNA from 1 species
AUUGAACGCUGGCGGCAGGCCUAACACAUGCAAGUCGAACGGUAACAGAAAGCAGCUUGCUGCUUUGCUGACGAGUGGCGGACGGGUGAGUAAUGUCUGGGAAACUGCCUGAUGGAGGGGGAUAACUACUGGAAACGGUAGCUAAUACCGCAUAACGUCGCAAGACCAAAGAGGGGGACCUUCGGGCCUCUUGCCAUCGGCUGUGCCCAGAUGGGAUUAGCUUGUUGGUGGGGUAACGGCUCACCAAGGCGACGAUCCCUAGCUGGUCUGAGAGGAUGACCAGCCACACUGGAACUGAGACACGGUCCAGACUCCUACGGGAGGCAGCAGUGGGGAAUAUUGCACAAUGGGCGCAAGCCUGAUGCAGCCAUGCCGCGUGUAUGAAGAAGGCCUUCGGGUUGUAAAGUACUUUCAGCGGGGAGGAAGGGAGUAAAGUUAAUACCUUGGCUCAUUGACGUUACCCGCAGAAGAAGCACCGGCUAACUCCGUG